AACCUGUGACGGCCCCUGAUUUGGCUGCUGCCAUUGAUUCCUCUCUCUCUCUCUCUCUCUCUCUCUCUCUCCACCUGGAGAUGGACUAACGUCACUAAAAUCUCUUCUCUAUCUGGAAGAUGGGCCUUUAUUAUUGUUGUAGAAGCUUGAGGGGGAGUGUUGUUUGAGCAGUGAUGAGUUCUUUUCUUUCGUCCAAUCUCAUGUAAGAUCCGAAAACAUGUAAAUGAGGUCCUUGAAAGAUGGUUUAGCGUACCAGGCGAGAGUAGUUAAAUCCGGUUUUGUCCCGAGCACUUUCUUGUUCAACCGGCUCAUCCGCCUCUACUCCCAGAAUGGCCUCUUGCGAGAAGCCCACAAGCUGUUCGACGAAAUGCCCCAACAGAACGUGUACUCUUGGAAUGCCCUGAUCUCGGCUCACGUAAAAGCUCGGAACCUGACCCGAGCGAGAGCAUUGUUUGACUCCGCCACUGACAGGGACUUGGUAACUUAUAAUUCGAUACUGGCUGGUUACGUGACUGUUGAGGGACACGAGAACGAUGCGCUCGAAUGGUUUGACGAGAUGCAGUCGAUGCGUGAUCGUCUUAAGUUUGACGAAUUUACUUUGACAGCGAUGCUUAACUUGGUGGCAAAGUUACGUGUGGAGUGUUAUGGGUCACAGUUGCAUGCGUAUAUGGUGCGGACAGGGAAUGAUGCAGAUGGGUAUGUCACGAGCUCCUUAAUUGACAUGUACUCUAAAUGUGGGAGUUUUGGAGAAGCAUACAGGGCGUUCUCUGAAUCAAAAGUGGAGGUCGAUUUGGUUUCCAAGAAUGCGAUGAUGGCAGCUUGUUGUAGGGAAGGUAAGAUGGAAAUGGCUUUGGAUCUCUUCCAGAGAUUGACUGAGUUAAAUGAUACAGUGUCUUGGAAUACUUUGAUUUCUGGCUAUGCGCAGAAUGGUUAUGAGGAGGAGUCCCUGAAUUUCUUUAUGAAAAUGAGGGACAGUGGAUUUAGGUGGAAUGAGCACACAUUCGCUAGUGUUCUGAAUGCUUGCUCCAUCAUGCGGAAUUCGAAGCUUGGAAAGGAGAUUCAUGCUGGGGUUUUGAAAGAGGGUUUGAUAUCGAAUCUGUUUGUUAAGAGUGCCAUAGUGGAUGUUUACAGCAAGUGUGGAAAUAUGAGAUAUGCGGACUUAGUUUAUGCGACGAUUGAGUGCGAGAACUCUUUUUCAACAACUUCUAUGAUCGUGGGUCAUUCAUCUCAAGGUAAUAUGUCGGAAGCACGGAGACUUUUUUAUUCUCUGACAGAAAAGAAUUCUAUCGUGUGGACAGCUUUGUUUACUGGUUACGUCAAAGCACAGCAAUGUGAAGCUGUGUUUGAACUGGUGAAUGAAUAUAGAGGGAAUGCAAACAUUUCUUUUGAUGCACCCAUAAUCAUGUGCUUGCUAGGUGCCUGUGCAUUGCAAGCGGCCCUGGAUCUUGGAAAACAAAUUCAUGCUUACUCACUGAGAACAGGGAUGGAAACGGAGGAGAAGCUGAUUAGCGCCACCAUUGACAUGUAUUUUAAGGCUGGUAGUACUGGAUAUGCAGGAAAGAUAUUUCAAAAGCUCACAGAAAGAGAUUUGAUUCUCUACAAUAUCAUGAUUUCCGGUUAUGCAAAUCAUGGGCAUGAAGGUCAGGCUAUGAAGCUGUAUACAGAAAUGUUGGAGAGAGGGUUGAAACCCAAUGAGGUCACCUUUAUUGCACUUCUAUCUGCUUGCCGUCAUAGCGGGUUAUUGGAGAUAGGGGAAAAGUACUUCAAGUCCAUGGUAGAAGAUUACAAAAUAUUGCCUGAAACGGAUCACUAUGCCUGUAUGAUUGAUCUGUAUGGAAGGGCAAAUCAACUAGAAAAGGCAAUGGAUCUCAUGAAGAAAAUUCCCAGGAAUUCGGAUGCUGUGAUUUUGGGGGCUUUUUUGAACGCCUGUAAGAUAAAUAGGAACCUCAGUCUUGCAAGAGAAGCAGCAGAGCAACUGUUGGUUAUCGAGGAAGAUAAUGGAUCUCGGUAUGUGCAGCUGGCAAAUGUAUAUGCAGCUGAGGAAAAUUGGGCAGAGAUGCGCAAGAUAAGAGAGAAAAUGAGAGGGAAGGAAACCAAGAAGCUUGCUGGCUGCAGUUGGGUGUAUCUUGAAAAUGGAAUUCAUGCAUUUACCUCUGGUGAUACAUUGCACUCAAAAGCGGAGGCUAUCUAUUCAAUCUUGGAGUUCCUAUCUGCAGAAUUACGUGCGUUGUCCAAUUCAAGUGUUGGAAAGAUUGCAGGUUUCAUAUCAACAUAAGGGGACAGGUGAAUUCAAAUGCUUGGUACAGGAAAGUCUGUGGUUUCUUUCAAGAGCAUAGAUAGAAGAGGAUGAGGGUUGAUGGUAUAGCAUAUGUAAUUUGAAGAAGGAAAUGCACUCAUCGGUGUACCACACACUGGACAGUGGAGAUAAAGGACGACUGUGAUGGAUAAGAAGAACCGCCAGAUGAAGCUUUAGUGGCAAAGCUUGUUCGUGCCAAAAGCCUUCAGGCUAACAGAGGUUGGAGCACCUUCUUCAGAACCAUCUGACAGGUUAACUUGUCAAAAUCUGAGUUCGUCAUGUUGCCGAUGAACGCUGAUAUCAUAAAGCAGGUCAGGAAUCUAAAUUGAAGGCUCGAUUUGCUGAAAAUUGGAGAACCAGGAAAGAAGACCCGUUUGUGGAAGAAGACUAAUAGCCUGCUGCUGGGACUUUCCUGGACUGUCCACGGUUUGCCAAGUAAGCCACCGUUAUCUCCAAGGACUUCCUGGUACAUGAUGGCAAAGAUAUUCGAGAAGUCGCUGUCUAGGACGAGCUUGUAGUUGGAUAAAGGUAUGAAGGUGCAACAUCUCGAGGGGGUAAUGAUGUGUGCAAUGGUCUUAUAGUGGCUAUCUGGAUAUGCUUAUGUAGAAUGCAGGUAUGGAUUGCCAGACCAUGUCUGGUCAUAUCAAUCCGUCUCAUUCUAAAAGUCUUCUUUCAUUCACAGUUUCAGCAUGACAGCCUCCAUGGCAUCAGGAGAAUAAGGCAGUUUUGUUUGGGUGUCCAUCAUGAAUUCCUCCUAAGGUGCCGCCUGAGCAAGUCCAAAUUUGUUGAAUUCAUUGGAGCCAUUACUCUUUGGAGCUUGUGGUGAUCAGGGAUGAGUACAAAUAUGUACCAUGAUGGACGUGGCAAGACUCUCCAAACUCCGUGCUGAUGGUGUAUGGCGGUGAAAUAUUAUCUGGAGUAUCUGAGGAGAGUCACUUGUGCUUUUUCAUGGUAUGUGUAUUUUCUGAGCUCAUUUCUUCAAACCAAAUCGAUGUCAUACAUUCAGAGAAAUAAAUAUCCUGCGGCACUCAUCCGCUUUGGGUGUUAUUUUCUCGCACACGCAUCUCGCCAAGGCGAU